CCUCCUCCCGCGCCAUCUCCUCACGGAUCUACGUGAGUGUCCUGUCGCUCUGACAAUGGGGUCGAGUCUCCCCUGCUCUGCCGUCUUUGAUCUUUGGAACGAAGCUUUGAUCCUGCACUUCACCGAUCUCGGAAAUGAGUCCUUGGAUCCUUAACGCCGCCGGAAGGCUUCCCGACAACUUCAAAGGUGCUCCUCACCUGGGAGGAGUCCUGCUCCGUAAAGUCCAGGGAGUUACACAGUCCUGGGGCAACUGCCCCUGCAACUCAGGUGGGCACGAGAAGUCCGGGGACCCCGGAUGCGGGUCCCUCCUGCCUGGGCCCGGCGGCCGUGGGCUCUGUGUGGCCGUGUGCUCCCCGCCGCCUCGAGUCCAGUGAAGCUUUUGCUGCUCCUUGUCUGCGAGCUCCAGUCUGGCCUCGCCCGUGUCUCUGCGGUGACUGCUGCUGGGGAGCGAUCCGCCGGUGUGCCCUGGCUGUGGUGCCCACACGGCAUUGCCCGAGAGGAACCUUCCAGAAUCUGCCCCACGUGACGACGCCCACGGCACGUGGCUGGAUCGUAUCAUGGAAGCAACACUGGGAAUGCAUCUGCUGGGAUUCGAACGCACUGUGCCGUCUCCUUCCUAAACCCACCCACUCGCUUUGGGAAAAGUUUUAUUCAGCCUUUAGAGCUGCAACUUUACGAAGACAUGAACAUGCGAACUAUGUCUCGAGCAGAACCAAGCUUAUCCUAAGGACCCGCCGCUGUGGGGGACGCACUCCAAGUGGGCUCAGGAUGGGGACACGGAGGUGAACUUGUCCAUUUCCCCGUGGGAAGUAGAAAUUUGAGGGAUUUCAGAAAAGCCAGCAUCUGAAGAUCCUUAAUAUCUUCCUCCGAUGGACUCGGUGAGGAAGCGCCUGCCGCUCGCCGGUUUUAUGCAUUCGAAAUGGCUCCUCGGACACCUCUGUGCGGGGCUAAUGAGGGAGAUUUGCAGGCGUGGAACGGAGCCACGGAUUCUGAGAACUCGCCUUGGAGAGAUGCAUUUUUACGAGGAUACUUUUAACAGGGGUGUUUGGGAGGAAGUCACAUUAGUGCA